GCCCCGAUAACACAAUUGGUUAGUGUGUUCGGCUUUUAAUUCCUCCUACUGGUGGAAGCUUGGGAGACCGAAAAGUUCUGGGUUCGAGUCCCAGUCGGGGCG